UUUUCUUUUUGGUGAAAUGUCUCUGAGUAGAUCUUACGAGAGACCACAAAAUUCAACAAUGAUAUUUUUAAUUAGAAAAAAGACCAUAUUAGCUUCCAAAACCCCAACUCAAAAUACAAAACAUGUGCAUCCACUUGUGCUGGAUUCAGCUAUGUGUGCAACUCUCAAUGGGCGCAUAGACAAUACAAUCUAGUUAUAUUUGGUGAAAAAUUUCAGAGUACCUGAUCAUUUCAAAUACACCCAGUCUUCAUCUAAAUAACGUCUUUUGGCUAUCAUGAUUAUUCCUGCAUAUUCAACAGGUAAGUGAUUAUAUGUAAAUAUUUAUAUUUUCAUAGAAUAAUAAAGAAAUGUGAACAAUAGAUUGAGGGAUAUGUUGAAUCUUAGCAUUGUAUUUGGAUUAACACUUCCAAUUUCACAGCCUUGGUCCUGAUUUGCAAUCGACAACUGCAAAAGGUGUUUAAUCUAAUUUGUUUGGAACAAACGAUGGUAUGAUGUGUGCCGAAGAAGUGAGUUCGCCUUAAGGUUUCUGGUAUGCAGUCUCUGCAUACACAUUUGGGGGUAUAGGGUUAGUGCAAGAAAUUGGGUAGUUUUUGUGCUACCGUA